rnacentral:rRNA from 1 species
ACAUAGGGUGCAAGCGUUGUCCGGAAUUAUUGGGCGUAAAGAGCUCGUAGGUGGUUCGUCACGUCGGAUGUGAAACUCUGGGGCUUAACCCCAGACCUGCAUUCGAUACGGGCGAGCUUGAGUAUGGUAGGGGAGUCUGGAAUUCCUGGUGUAGCGGUGGAAUGCGCAGAUAUCAGGAGGAACACCAAUGGCGAAGGCAGGUCUCUGGGCCAAUACUGACACUGAGGAGCGAAAGUCUGGGGAGCGAACAGGAUUAGAUACCCUGGUAGUCCAGACCGUAAACGGUGGGCACUAGUUGUGGGAACCUUCCACGGUUUCUGCGACGCAGCUAACGCAUUAAGUGCCCCGCCUGGGGAGUACGAUCGCAAGAUUA